rnacentral:rRNA from 1 species
GAUUAACGCUGGCGGCGUGCAUAACACAUGCAAGUCGAACGAUGAAACUUAACUGAUUUCUUCGGAAUGAUUUUAAGUGGAUUAGUGGCGGACGGGUGAGUAACGCGUGAGUAACCUGCCUUGGAGAAGGGGAUAGCCUUUGGAAACGAAGAAUAAUACCCUAUGAUAUGAUAAUAUCUCAUGAUAUUAUCAUCAAAGAUUUAUCGCUCUAAGAUGGACUUGCGUCUGAUUAGUUAGUUGGUGAGGUAACAGCUCACCAAGGCAGCGAUCAGUAGCCGGCCUGAGAGAGUGUACGGCCACAUUGGGACUGAGACACGGCCCAGACUCCUACGGGAGGCAGCAGUGGGGAAUUUUGCACAAUGGGGGAAACCCUGAUGCAGCGACGCCGCGUGAUUUAGAAGGCCUUCGGGUUGUAAAAAUCUUUUGUAUGGGAAGAAAAUGACAGUACCAUACGAAUAAGGACCGGCUAAUUACGUG